UACUAGGUUUACAUGAUGUGCUUGGGUGCCAUUCUUGGUUUAGAAAGAAUGGAAGUAUUAAAGCAUUUGCUAGAUGUAUUUGAACCCUUUUAUCUUCCCAGUCUGUCAUUUCAGGAGUAAGACCUUCCCUUCCCUUCCCCUCCCCUCCUCUUCUUUUCUUCUUCUCUUCUUCCCUCCCCUCUCCCCUCUCUCCUCCCCUCUCCUCUGAAUUAAUAUUAGGUGAAGUGACUUGCCCAGGGUCACAUAGCUAGGAAGUAUUUGAGGUCAAAUUUGACUGCAGGACUUUCCAUCUUCAGGCCAGAGCUCUGUCUGCUGAGCCACCUUGAUACCCCCUCAUCCUAUUGUUCUUGUAAAUCAAAUAAUAUGUGUGUGCAUGUUGUGUAUGCAUUUAAACAUCUCUUCUUUGGAAACAAUGGAUAUCUAGGGGAGUUAAAAGGUUUGGAGAGAAUGUAAUUUCAAAUGAGGUCACUAAGCCUUCCAUUUUCAAUAUGCAUUGUUAAGUGUUUACUCUAUACUAGGCACUAUUAUUAGGCAUUGGUGAAACAUAUAAAGACAAAAAUGAGACAGCACCAACUUUUUUUGGUCAGUCAGCAAGCAUUUAUUAAGUUCUUACCAUAUGUCAAGUACUCUGCUCUGAAGAUACCAAAAAAGGGCAAAAAAUGUGGUUCCUGUCCUCAGGUAUGUAUGGAGUGAAAAUUAGUACGAGAUUAGUGUAUUAUUCUCAAUAUAUUUUUGGUUAGUAAUGACAAUAUUAGAUCAAUAUUCCUGAAACUCCAAGUAGAGGUUAAGUUUGAAUCAUUAGUUUAUUAUUAGACACAGCCUUGCUCUUCCUUCCCCCUUCCUCCUCCCAGUUUCUCAUAUAAACCUUUAAUUAGUACUCUUUGGCACAGGAGGAGGGCAUUAUAUUAGUUUUCUAUAAAUUGGGAGUUCAUCGGUAGAUCUUGGGACAUUGCCUUUGGAUCUCUGACUCAAGCCCACCAUCCUUGUUCUUUGCUUCAUAAGCAAUAAAGCUGCAUUUGUUUGCAUCUUAUUCUGACCUCUCUGAUUAUUUGAUUGAUUAAAGGGGGUGUAUCUUGCUAUAUGCAGACCACCCCCCUCCCCCAGACAGGUAGGACAGCACUAGCUUUCAAAGAGCUUUUGUUUUACUGGGGCAGAUUUUCUUACAUCCCACCCCCCUUUAAAAAAUCUUUUUGAACCUCUUUGGCAAUUUGAUAAAGUCAAUAGAAAAGUCAAAAUAAUGUUUUUAAAUGCAUAAAAUCCAUAGAAUUAUAAUGGAAAUUAAAGAUUAAUGAAAAUAAAAGAUGUAACUUUUUUUUCCUGUUCAAGUUUAUGGACCCUCCUAAAACCUAUCCUUACGGGCAGCUAGGUGACCCAGUGGAUAGAGAGCCAGCCUCAGAGAUGGGGCAUCCUGGGUUUGAAUGUGGCCUCAGACACUGCUUAGCCAUGUGACCUUGGGCAAGUCACUUAAUUCCAAUUGCCCAGUCCUUACACUCUUCUGCCUUGGAACUGAUACUUAGUAUUAAUUCUAAGACAAAAAGUAAGUUUUUUUAAUGUGGAAAAUUAAUAUUCAUUUGUACCCCCUUUUUGGCUCCCCAAAACAACUUUUGAUUUUAAAGCUAAAAAAUGUUUGAUCUUCUGUCUGAAGCUAGAAACUGGCAUCUGCCCCCCAGGCUAAGGCAGGGUGGAGACAAGUUCUCUGUUUGUGUAAACAAGAAAUCUCUUGUGGGGUGAAGUAAUUAAAUGAGCUAGGCAAAGCCACAUGGAGAAAAGUGCACAUGCACUGUGCCGCCGAGCCCAAAAGGCCUGCCUCUUGUCCUGAGUGAGUUCUCAGUCCUCCAGUCAGAGAGCCUUGGGAAAAGGACAUGGAGAAGAGCAAAAUACAUGGAGGGGAAAGGAAGUUGGCUUUUCUCCUGGAACCAGGGAUCCGAUCCGGAGGGUGUAUGUUCCGGCUCUGAGCUGGCUCAGCCUACGUGCCGAGGAAGUGGCUGAGAGAACUAGCUGGCCACUCGGGGCUUAUGUCUCCCUCUCCUGCUUUUUGCUAAAUAAUAAUUACAAAAUGAAGAUCCGAUCUCUAGAGAAUUUUAAUCACAGUAUAAAUAUAUCCUUAGAUCCUUUAUGGGUCCAUGGACUUCAGGGUAAGAACCAUUGGACUGGGGGAUUAAUGGGGUCACAGAUAAGUACACACACACACAUAUAUAUCUAUCUCAUAUUAUAUAUAUACAAAUACAUACAAAAUUAAUAUAGAGUCAUUUGAUGGGAAAAGAAAUAAAUCUUUACAUAGCACUUAGGUGCCAGACUCUGCGGAGUGCUUCACAAACAUUAUUUCAUCCUCAUGAUAGCUCUUUGAGGUGGAUGCUAUUAUUAUCUCCAUUUUACACUUGAGGCAGUCGAGGCAGAUAGAGGUUGUGACUUGUCCAAGGUCACAUAGCUAAUAAGUGUCUGACACCUGAUUUGAGCUAAGAUCUCCUUGACUGCAGUCUCAGUGCUAUAUACACUAUAUCAGCUAGCUCUUAGGCUGAAGGAGAAGAGACUUAACAAGCAGGGAAAUCAGAAUUGCUUUCUCAAAGGAAGUUGAUUUGCUUCGAACCUUAAGCUGAACUAGGGUAGAUGUGAAAAAACAGAGGAUUCCAAUCAUGGGGUUCGACAGCCUCCCCAAAGGUAUGGAUGGAAACAGGAGACUGAAUGUUCUGUACAGAGAAGAGGAAGGAGGUAGAGGCAGGAGCUGGAUAGGCUCGAGUCAGAUUGUGAAUCAAAUUUUAGAAUUCUUUGUUCUAAUUAGCUUCAGCCAACCUUAAAUGCUAUUUUAAUGUAGUAAAAGUCUAAUCCUCAGGCCCCAACCUCUUGUUUUCCAAGAUUAACUGAACCAGUUUUGUAUGUCUGGAAGGACACACUCCAGAUUUACUUAGCAUCCCUCUGCAUAAGUGAAUUUUCCAGCUAGCUGAAAUUUAAGGACUAAAAUCUUCAUUCCCAUUGUUUCUAAUCAAAUUCUUUUUAUGGUUUAUAUGUUUCCCUUCAUUCCUUUUUAUUUUCUUUUAAAUUUAAGUUUAUUUAGUCAAUUUAGAACAUUAUUCUUUUUUUUUUUAAUUUAAUACUUGCUUUCUGUCUUAGAUUUGUGAUUUUCAGGCAGAAGAGUAGUGAGGGCUAGGCAGUUGGAGUUCAGUGACUUGCCUCCAAUCAUAGUCAGGAAGUAUCUGAGGUCAGAUUUGCACCCAGGUCUUCCCAUUUCCAGGCCUGGCUCUCUAUCCACUGAGCCACCUACCUUCCCCACUUACCUUCAUUCUUAAGCCACACAACCUCAUUAUGACCCAGAAGAAUCCAAAACUUUGAGUAUCCCUAGCUCCCUUCCAGGCUCAUGGCUAUGAGUGCCUGUUGCCUCUUUUUGGGAAGCCCUUAGUUAUUUAUUAUUUGAUCCCCAGUUUUUCGGUGAUAAAUAUUCUCUCUUUCCUAAAGCAUUCAUGUGUUUAUACCUCUCUGAGCACAGUCUUCCCACUACUAGAAAGGAAGCUCUUUGACCUCAGGAACACCUUUGUAUGCUCCAGUGCCUUGUUUAUAGAAGCUGCUUAGCAAAUGCUUGCUGGAACAGAUAGAAGCUUAAAUGAGGAAUGAGAGUGUUUGCAUUAUGGCAAUACAGCGAAAGCCUCAGAGGCUACCAACAUUUGUUUGUAAAUUUGUUUCCCUGAUUUAAAAGGUGGUUUCCUUCCUGCUAAUUCACUCCACCUUGAGAACUUGUGAUAUAUGUUUUUUAAAAAUAUUUUAUUUUUUCCCCAAUUACAUGUAAAAAAUAAUAUUUAACAUUCUCUUUGUUGUUUAAAUUUUGAGUUCCAAAGUGUGUGCUUUUUAUAAGUCCUCUUUUGGUUGUCCUUUUGCAGCUAUUACUGUAUCAUGUGCUUUCAAUCUUCUCUUCCUUUUUGUUGUUGUUCAGUCGUUUUUUCAGGCACAUCCAACUCAUUGUGACUCCAUUUGGGGUUUUCUUGAUAAAGAUACUGAAAUGGUUUGCCAUUUCCUUUUCCAGCACAUUUUGCUGAUGAGGAAACCAAGUUAAGGUUAAGUGACUUGUCCAGUGUCACAAAGCUAAUAAGUGUCAGAGGCUGGAUUUAAACUCACAGAAGAUAAGCCUUCCUGACUCCAGGCCUGACACUCUAUCUAUCCACUGUGCCACCUAGCAGACCUUCUAUUCCUUUAACUCCCCUUUAAAAUUUGUUACUUCUACAAUUCUUAUUAGCUGGGAGAACAGACACUUCAUAGGACUGUGUAGAUUUGGUGCUGGGGAAUGCUGCCAUGAAUAAAGUAGAGAUAUUUGGUAUGAAGAAGAUGACAUUUAUUUUUAUCUGCUGAAAAAGUCCUCUUUUUUUUUUUUAAACUAUGUAGUAAAACUAGUUUGCUGCAGAAGGAAGCUUUAACAGGUGGUUUUCUGGCUUAGUUUUAUGACUUUAAGAUUGCUAACAUAGAAUCUUCUUAUGUUCAUAUUUCUAUGCCCUAAUAUAGCUUUUCCUCCAUAUUAUAAGCUUUUCAGAGCAGGGAUCUUGUCUUAUACCUAUAGUGAUCCCAUAUUCCAGAUCUUUAGGGAUACCCUGAUUUAAAAAAACAACAUACUUCUAACAAGAUUUUAUAAAAUAGACUUUCAGACUGCGUUCCUGAUUUUUUUUUCUCCUUAAUCCUGUCCCCCCAACCAAAAAGCCUAUUUUGUCACUUAAGUCAGUAUAAUAUGCACUCAAUAAAAUCAUUUUGAAAGAAGGUUUAAGUAUCUUGUACAUGAAAUGAGACUAGGAUUCUUUUGGAGGGAGCAGUGAGGCAGGAAGAGCACAUUUUAACCUGAAACUGAUUUUUAUUUUAUUUUUUGUUGGGGAAAUAGAAAAAGAGGGUAUCUAGACUCCCUUCCUAUCACAGAACUCCAGAUGUGAUGGCUCUAACUCUAGAGACUUCCUUCCCUAAAGAAUAAAGCCUAUAAUCUCCUCCAGAGAUUGUUCUUUUUUUUUUUUAAUCUCUUGAUCAGGACAUCCUUAUGUUUGCCUGUCCUUCUGUGGUUCAACAUUAUUUUAACAUUAUUUUUUCUUGUUCUUUUUCUCAGAGCAUUCCAUGUUUGGAUUACAGUGGCCGAACCUCCUCUUAGAUACUCCUCAUGCCACCAAUUUUCCUUCUAUUAUGUAUGAAAUUGAAGGUCCUGGCCAUAGGCCCACUUAUUUAAUUACCCUCCAGUUAUAGCUGUAUUCUGUAGGGCCUUUUAAAAGACAGAGUAACUAUCUAGAUAGAACAGGAGUUACCAUUUUAGCAGAAGGAGCUCUAGGGAUUUAGGUUUGGCAUAAGAAAAUAAUAUAAAGCAUUUUAAAGAGCCUAUUAAAAUAGUUCCAUAGAGAGACGAUGAGGCAUUGAAAUAAGGUGCUUCCUGUAGGAGCUGAGAGGAAUGAUCAUGUGGAAGCAAUAUUGUGGACAGAGAAGUGACUUGAUUUGGCAAGUAACUAGAUACAUGGGGUGAGUGAGAAUGAGGAGAUGAAGAUGAAGCGCUGAGGAUUUAGGCCUUGAGUGACUGGAAAGAUGGUGGGUCUUCUCAGCAGAAACGGGGGAGCUUGGAAUAGGGACAUAUUUUGGGAGAAGAUAAGUUUCAUUUUGGAUAGCCUGAGUUCGAGAUUUCUAGGGACAUCUAGUUAGAAAUAGCCAAUAGACAUUUGGUUAUGUUAGAUUGGACUUUGGGGGGAAAAGAAUUUGGGAGUCAUCUGCAUAGAGGUGAUGAUUGAACCCAUGGAACCUGCCAGUGUUGAGGCAGAAGAGAAAAGAACGGAGGGCAGAGCCUUGGGUAUUCUAGAAAGGGGAGUGUGUGAUUUAACAAAGGACAGAGAGAUCAGGAAAAGGCAGCAUCCCCAGACCUCUUAGAGAGCUUGGUUAAGCCCUGUCAGAUGCUUCAGAGACCAAGAAGGAUGAAGAUUGAGAAAAGCCCCCUAGAUUUGGCUACGAGGGUAUAAUUGGUGACUUUGCACAUAGUAGUUGUGUUGUGAGUUUGGAUGCCAGACUGCAAUGGAGGAAUAGGACUAAUUCCUUAUUUUUGAUAGUAGUGAAAGAAAGGCAGGAGACAUGAGGAUUAAGACUGUAGAAGGGGGCAGCUAGGUGGCUCAGUGGAUCGAGAGGCAGGUCUAAUUUUUUUGCCACCACAAAGAGCACAAGAGAUAGGUCUAGAGAUAGGAGGUCCUGGGUUCAAGUAUGGCCUCAAAUAUUCCCUGCCUGUGCAACUCAAGGCUAGUCACUUAUCCCUCAUUGCCUAGCCUUUACUGUUCUUCAGCCUUGGAACUAAUACACAGUAUUGAUUCUAAGAAGAAAGGGAAGGUUUUUAAAGCCGGCAGCUGGGCAGUGUUUGUGUCUUAGCCUUGCUAUUUACUACCAAAGUGACCUUGGGCUUGCCAUUUCCUUAUUAUGACUUUUAAUGACUUUCUUCCACAUGAGUGUAUUGGAAGUGCAUUGGAAAUGAGUGCUUGCGUUCUUCAGUCCCUAGCACCCCCUGGUGGCGUAUCACUUCAGACUAGAAGUAAGAGAUGGCACAGUAAUAAUCUAAUGCAAAAAGGAGUAGACUUGGAGUUGGUGGCAAGCAGGAAGUCUAAUUUAGAUCUCCUAAUUUGAGCCUUCAGUGACACACAGAGUUGCUUCACCUCUCUGGGCCUCAGCGUCCUCAUCUAUAAAAAUGAGGGGAUUGAAUUACAUGGUACCUAAGGUCUUUCUAAUGCAAACCUGUUACUCAUACCCACACAUUACAAGAAAUUCUUUCAGUUUUUUAAACCCAUACCUUCUGUCUUAAUAUCAGUUUCAAGACAGAAGAGUGGCAAGGUCUAAGCUACAAUAAAUUCUUUAAUGGAAAAGUAGAAAUUUAAAGGAUUAUGUUGAGUUUCUGAAUUUUCUCAACUCUUGAAAAAUCAAAUAUAUGGGGAAAGGGUGGUUUUUUUUCCUUCUAAAGAGAAAAGUUAAUGACUUUUAAAAAUAAUCUAUUGAUUUCCCUUACCCCACUCCCCAGAGAACCCUCCUUUGAAACAAAGGAGUACAGUUAAGGAAAAAAAACACACGGCCACUUGGCACAUGACUUCUCUUUCUGAGAUGUAGAGAGCAACACGUUCCUGAAAUCAUGGUUAGUCAGUUCCUGAAAUCAUGGUUAGUCAUUGUUCUGAUGAGGUCUCUUAUGUCUUACAGUGUUUUCCAUUUCAUUAUUGUGGUCGCCAUGUAAAUUCUUGUGGUUCUGCUUACUUCAUUUCUGUAUUAUUUCAUAAGAUUCUUCAGAAUUUUUCUAAAAAAUUUAUACGUCAUUUCUCACAUCAUAAUCUAUUGCUUUCAUAUGUCACAAUUUCCUUUGCACUUUCUCAAUCUAUAGGUGUUUAGUCUCCUUGCAAUUUUUUUCUAUUAUGAUGAAUAUUUUGUUAUAUGUGAUAUCUUUUUUCUUUGCCAUCCUUGAGGAUAUGUGCCCAGGAGUGAUAUUGUGAGGGCAGCUAUUUGGCAGUAAGGAUAGAACACCAGGCCUGAGUCAGGAAGACUCAGCUUUCUGAAUUUAAAUCUGGCCUCAAACACUUACUAUUUGGAUGACUGUGGAUAUGUCACUUAACCCUGUUUGCAUCAGUUUUCUCAUCUGUAAAAUGAACUGAGAAGGAAAUGACAAACCACACCGUUAUCUUUGCCAAGAUAACUUCAAAUGGGACCACCAAGAAUCAGACAUGACUGAACAAAGUAUUGCUGGGUCUGGGAGAAUGUAUGGAUUGUUGACUUUUGUGGAUUUGAGUUUUCUAUUUUUUGGUGGAUGGGAAGACAUUUGUGAUUUCAUUGUUUUAGGAGCUCCAGAUGAGGACCUCCCUCUUCCAUUGUAGAUCUUAGAGAGUAUAGUUCCAAAUGGUUUUCCAGAGUGGUUAGAGUACCUCACAAGCUCCACUAUCAGUGCAGUGGUAUGCCUUUAUUUCCACAACCCCUCUAACAUUUACAGUUUGCCAUUUUUGUCGUCUUUGUCUAGAUGUGAGGUGGAAACUGUAAACCUUAAAAUUUCUUAGACUUAAGUCUAAGAAAUUUUAAGGUUUACAAAACUCAGAGUUUUAGGCAUUUGUAGCUUUCAUGUGGUUAAGUUUCAUUUCUGCCUUUUCAUUGUGGUUGUUUCAUUUCUAUUGAAAACUGCCUUUUCAUAGCCUUCAGUCACUCCAUCUAUUAGAUACCACUGAUUUUUUUUUAACCCUUACUUUCUGUCCUAGCAAUAAAUCUAGGACAGAAGGAUAAAGAGCUAAGCAAAUGAGGCUUCUAAGUGAUUUGCCCAAGAUCACACAUCUAGGAAGUAUCUGAGGCCAAAUUUGAACCCAAGUCCUCCUGACUCGAGACCUAGUUCUCUAUCUACUGUGCUCCCUAGCUUCCCCUUUAUUAUAAGUUUUAAGAUAGCUUUAAAACCAAAUCUUGGAAAUGAGCUAGUAAGCUAAUUUCUUAAGAGACAGAAAUAAUUUUAUUCUAUUUAACACAAAGCCUAAAGUUAUUAUUUUUCUUUUUCUAGUUUUAUUUCCUCCAAAAUUUCAUGUAAAAACAGUUUAUAACAUUUUCAAAAGAAUUUUGAGUCUUGAAUUUUUUCUCCCUCUGCCCUCCCCACUGAAAUGAAAAGCAACCCUAUAUAGAUUUUACAUGUGUAAUAUUUUCCCAUAUUAAUCCUUUUGUGAAAGAAAACUUGAACAAAAAAUAAGAAAGUGAAAAAAAUUGCUUUGGUCUGGAUUGAACUCUUAUCAAGUUCUUUCUCUGGAAGCAGAUGACAUUUUUUUUUAUCUUGAGUCCUUUGGGAUUGUUUUGGAUCAUUGUUUUGCUGAGAAUAGCUAUUCACAGGUGUUCAUUGGAAGUAUUGCUCUUACUAUCUACAAUUUUCUCCUGGUUCUGCUUAUUUCAUUCUGCUUUAGUUCAUAUAAGUUUUUCCACAAAGCCUAAAGUUCUAAGAAUAGGAGCCUAAGAAAUCACCGGAAUACUCCCAUAUCUUUAUUCUUAAGUAUUUAUUCCUGUGAAUGCUUUGGAGGGAAAUUUCAGAUACUCUUUUCCCAUUUUUUGCUGCAUCCUUUCUCCAUAUCCAAAUUGGACCUUUCUUAGCAUUGAAAAUGAGCAUUUCUCCGAGGUAGACUGGCAUAUGUCCAGUCACUAACUUUCUGCUGUAAAGCAGUUGUAUCCAUGAAGGAAUAUAGAGAAAAAGUGCCUCCAUUCAUUAGCCAGGCAGGAAAAUGUGCUUUAUCCCCCUAGUUGACCAUGGGAGCUGUCUGCAAUCCCGAAUAAAAAUAUACAUAUGUAUAUUUUGCUUGUGCUAGGCUUAUGUGUUGACACUAGAUUUUCUAGCUCUAGUUAAUUAUCCUUGCACAUGGAUUAAAUAGCACAAAAUAUAUCCAGCACAAACAGCAUGAUUUGCUUGUGAACUCCUUGAGGACUGGGACUGUCUUUUGUUCUUUUUUUUUUUAAUAUCUCUAUAGUUUACCCCAGCAUCUAGCAUAUAGCAGGCAUUUAAUAAAUGCUUAUUUCCUGAAUUAAUAUACUUUGGGGGCAAAUAGUACAGAAGGUACACUCAUACUUCUGAGAAAGCUGUUGGGGAGAGGAGAAGAAGAGUCCCUGGUGGAAUGGUUGGGAUGUAGCCACUGAUGUUUUGUGGUAAAUUGUACUCUGGUGCUUCUAGUCUCCUGAAGGAUUUUAAAUGCUUUCAGCACUUUCUUCAUUUCAAAACCCUGGUUACUUGGCCUUAGUUAUGGUUCUAAUUGGCACCAAUUAUAAAUCUGGUUAAAAAACUGGCCAGUUUUGAAAUCUUAAAAGGACUUUGUUAAUGCCUUUCUGAAAUGUAUUCAGGUAUGUUGUAUCUUUGCAUGGUGUGUGAAAGGACCUUGAUUCAAAUCUUGAGUAUCCAAUUUUAUGACCAUAGUGACUCUAGAUAAGCUGUUUAACUUCUUUGGGCCUCAGUAUCCUCAUCUCUCAUCUCUAAAGUGGAUGGAGCCAGAGGUAGAGGAAAUUGAUUGGGAUCACUAGGGUUCCUCCCAGCUCCAAAAGCUGCGGCCAGACGUGCCACAGGGACAGGGUACUUCAUGUCAUCUUAAAUGUCCAUUGAUAUACUUUUCCCUCCCCUCCAUUCUUAUGAGGUAGCAAAGUGACAGGGAAUGUUUUAUUGGAAUGCUAAUUAAAGGAGCACCCAGAUAAUUUGGCCAUUAUCAUAGUUGACAGGUUUGAAAGUAUGUCAAGAACCCACUUUGACUAAGUUCCAAGUACCAAAUUGCCUAGGUGGCACAGUGGAUAGAGCUUUGAGGCUAGAGUCAGAAAGAUUUAAGUUCAAAUUCAGCCUCAGACAUUUACCAGUAUUGUAUGACCCAAGGCAGGUCACUUCUACCUCCCUCAGUUUCCUCAUCUAUAAAAUGCAGAUAAUAACACCUACCUUAUAGAGUUGCUAUGAGUGUCAAGCAAAAUCUUAUUUGUAAGGUGCUUAGCAUAGUGCCUGGCACAUAGUGGGUACUUAAUAAGUUCUUCCCUCCUUCCUUUUUUUAAUGUGAUAUUUUUGUUUUUAAUAUUCUGAAAGAUUCCCUCACUUCAUUGAAUAUAUUUUUAAAACCCUUACCUACCUUUUUAGGAUCAAUACUCUGUAUUGGUUCCAAGGCAGAAGAGUGGUAAGGGCUAGGCAAAGGGCUAAAGGGACUUGCCCAGGUUCACAGUUAGAAAAUGUAUGAAGCUAGAUUUGAACCCAGGGUCUUCUGUCUCUCAACCUGGCUCUCAGUACACUGAGCCACCUAGCUGCCCCCAUAAUCCAAUGAAUGUUAAUUAGAAAGUCUAGUAAAAGGAGCUUGUCUUGGAAAAAAUGUUUGUGUUUAACUUUUUACAGUUAAUAGACCCAAGCAAAGAACAGCAUAGUAAAUCAUUUAAUUGGAAUAAACAUGAAUAAUAAGGCAAUAGAAAACACUCUCAGCCAUAUUCUCAAAUAAGGACAAUUUCAGUCUUCCUUUCCCUUGGAUACAACCUCCUCCAUAACUCACAACUUCAUUAGAGAAGGAACAGGUCAAAUCUCAGUAGCCUUAGUGUAUUCCUGACUCAUCCCAGCUUGCUUGUUCAGACACUACUUGUAGUACCUCAUUGUGAUUAGGAUCUUCCUGUUUUUGCAUGGCCAAGAUAGUCUUGUCUCCUUCAAUUACACACACAUUUAUGAAGCACCUACUACAUACAAUGCCCUGUGGUAGGGAAAUAAAGACAAAAAAAUAUCAUAGUGUCUAUUCCCAAACUUACAUUCUACUGGGUGAUUCAGCAUAUACCCAAAUAAAUUUAAUCAAUGUAAUUUGCAGAAGGAGAAAGCACUGACACCAGGAGAGUUCAGGAAAAGCCUUAUUGACUUUGCUUUAUUAAUUCUUGCUGUUUUGCAAGAUCAUUGACUUCUAGUUGCCUAAUUCUGGUCUUUAAAGACUGGUUUUCCUUUUCAGUUUGGUCUAUCCUGCUUUUUGUGGCUUCCAGCUGUUUCUCCAAUUGGGAGUUCUUGUCCUUUAAACUGUUAUUUUCUUUUUGAACUAUUUCCCACUUUUCUUGCCAGAAGGCUUCCAUCUUUUUGAUAAGCUCCAAUUUAAAUUCUUCAAGAGCUUGUGGACAAUUUCCAUUUUUUUGGGAAGGUUUUGAUGCAUUUAUUUGUAUUUCCUCUUCUAUUUCCUCUGUAGCCUGAGUUUUUCCUCCAUAAAAAUUAUCCAGGGUCAACCCCUUCUUGUUUUUCUUGGUGUUGGGAAGUUGUUCCUGGGUACUAUUUGCCAUCACUAUGGUGGUUUUCCCUUCCCUUUCCAGUCAGAAAUUCGAGUGAGAUGGGCAGACUCUCUGUACAUGGAGCUAAGGAACAAGGAUUUUGCCUGAGGCCAGCUCUCGAAUCUCUGCAGCUUCUACUGUUUGCUGCCCUUCUCUGUGCUAUCUUCCCGUGAGUGUCCAUGGUCUACACUCUUCAGCCUGCUGGGGUUUCAGGUCUAGCUUCUCUCUGGGGUAGGUCUUUGGUGGUCUUAGUCAGCUGCCUAGGACCUAGAAGUGCCCCUCACUCGCUCUUGAUGUGCCCCUUGCUCACUCACUGAUUCUAGUGCAUGCUGGCUCUGACUCUGGCUCCAUAGGUGGGGUGGGGGAGGGUAGAUCAGCUCCUGUUUUGGGUGGAAGCUUUUUCACCCCCUUAUAGUGUGGAAAUGCCCAAAUCCCACAUACCUUCAAUGCUGUGCCCUACUGUAGAGUCCCUUCAUUCAUAUGAAUUUGGUUUUUUUGGUCUUUUGAGGUAGUCUAUAUUGGUAGGUGGUGAGGAGAGGAAGAGUCCUGCGUCUAGACUGCCACCAUGUUUACCCAGAAGUCAGAAAGCUUUAUUGAGAACAUGUCUGAGAUAAGAGAUCUGAGAAAAAAACUGAGACUGUCCAUUCUAGACAUUAGGGAUGUGAAGUGCACUAAGAUGAGGGAUGGAAUGUAACAUUUGGGAAAUGAAUAGAGGUUGGCUUUCUUUGAAAUAAGAAUGAGUAAACAAGAGUAAUGUGAAGCAGUGUUGGAAAGGAAGUUUCAAGUCAUACUGUGAAUGGCUUUAAAUAUUAGGCUGAGUUGUUUGAAUUUGAUCGUUGGGACAAUAAAGAGCCAUGGUCUGUUUUAUUUGAAUACAAGCAACAUGGUCAGAUUUGUGCCUUAGAAGAAACUUUGGCAGAUAUGUAGAGGAUGGAUUAUAGAAGGAAGAGACUAGAAACAGGGAAACCAAUUAAGAAAGCUAUUUACUAUAGUUAAGACUAGAGAUGAUGAAGAUAUGAGCAAGGAUAGUAAGUAACUGUGGGAAUAUAAAGAAAGGGAUGGGUAACAUGUUAUGGAAGCAGAAGCUCUUAAGUCUUCACAGCUGAUAGUGAAUAGAAAGAGUGAGGGUACAGGAAGAGGAAAGGAUUUUUCCAAAGUUAAUAAAGCUGGGCGACUGAACAUGGCAGUAUUUUCAACAGAAGGGAGUUUGCAAGUGGGCAGCUUUAAGUUGGAAAAGUUCCAUUUAGGAUAGAUUGAUUGGGCAUCUAUGUUGAGAUGGUUAGCAGGCAAUUGGCAAUUUGGGGCUAGACUUAAGGAGAGAGGUUGGAGCUGGAUAUAUAGAUUUGGGAAUCAUGUGAAUAGUAAGAACCGGAUCUGUAAAAGUUAGACAUGGUCAUUAAGGGAAAGAAGGUUAAGUGAGAAGGGGUUUCAGCCUUUGAGAUAUUCAUGAUUAGGAAUAGGAAUGAUGAACCAUCAAAAGAGACUGAAAAGAAGUGUUCAGAAAGCUAGGAGAGGAGACAGCUGAGUAGCUCAGAGGAUUGAGAGCCAGGCCUAGAGAGGGGAGGUCCCAGGUUCAAAUGUGGCCUCAGACACUUCCCAGCUGUGUGACCCUGGGCAAGUCACUUAACCCCCAUUGCCUAGCCCUUACCACUCUUCUGCCUUGGAACCAAAACACAGUAUUGAUUCCAAGACGGAAGGUAAGGGUUAAAGAAAGAAAGAAAGAAAGAAAGAAAGCUAGGAGAGCCAAAAGAAAGCAACAGUUGUGACAACCAAGAAAAGAGGAGAGUAUAUCUGAUAGUCUACAGAAAAGAAACCAAUAGAAAGUCUGAAGAUAAGAGAGAGAAGUAGAAAUAAUUGCUGUAGCUAGCUCUUAGAGAAGGCAGUAGGGGAUGGAAUCAAGAGGUUAACUUUGGUAAGGGAAGGCCACUUCUUCCUCAGCUUAGAGCAAAGGAAGAGAGGCUAUGUGGUGAUUUAGUGGAGUUUUAAGGUGUAGAGCUGAAAUGAGAGAAUCCAUAGUGGAUGAUCUCAAUUUUCUUAGUAAGGUAGAUGACUUGAUUUUCUGCUGAGAAGAAUGAUCUCAAGGAGGAGGUCUGGAAUUCAUUAUUUAAGGUAUAAAGAAAUUUCCAUGUAGUAGGUCCCUGCUAACAUUAAAUAACAUGAAUUUGUAGGAAAUCCAGUUGGUAUUAUUUUGAGGCUUCUACUUGUAUUUAGAAGCAUAGGAGUAAAAGUGGAGAAGGUCAGAAGUGAUUUAAUAACAAAGAUAGGGCAGGAAUUGCAGUAUUACAAUGGGGAAUUGAUUCAGGGAUGGUGAACAGUGUAAUGAACUAUUCUAUGCUAGGGUCAAGAAUCUAAAGAGAAAAUAAAUGAGGCCAGAGUAGAGGUGAUAGAUUUGGAGAAAAGAGAGGGACUGAAGGUCAAGACUGUGAUGGCGAAUAAUAGGAUGUGUAAGAGUAAUACUCAGGGAGAGAUGGCAGCCUAGGGUAUUGUUUUGAAAGGUUUACUUUUAAGGUUUGAGGUCAUAGAGAGAUCUAGUUGUAGGUGAUAGUGAUGUCAAAGCAAUGGUCUGCUCUUUGUGUAACUGACCAUGCAGGCAGUAUACACUUAGCUUCAGCAAUACCACCAGCUUUGGGUUUGGCAUCUAGUCUGCAGCCAGAUCCCCCAACCAUGUGAAUUGUGCCAAGGGAUCGGUGCAGAUCAUACUGAUCAGACAGAACAUUGCUAUUGGGAGUAAAACGAGUGGGAGAUAUUGGAAGUAAGCAAGGAGAGCUCACACAGCAUCUCAGAUGAUGACAUUAUCAACAUCACUCUCCCUACUGGUGUCCCCAUCCUCCUGGAGCUAGAUGAGAACCUCCAUGCUAUUGGCCCUCAUCAAUUCCUGGGCGACCAAGAAGCCAUCCAAGAAGCUAUCAAGAAAGUGAAUGAUCAAGGAAAAGUGAAGCAAGCCGUAAAAUAAAAUAACUACUGACUGGAUAAAA